rnacentral:lncRNA from 1 species
AUGUACGGUGUCUUCGAGGGGCAGGCAGCCCUGAGGACUCUUAACUGCCUGCACGGUACUAGCUGUCCCGGUCCGCAGCUGGGAGGGAAAAAGAAAGGAGGAAGCCUCACCCAUCAGGUGGCCGGUACUAAGGUGCAGAGAUGCGCUUGGUGCAGAGGGAUGACCUCCUCAUCAUCACGGAGCCCAAGUGCAUGGUCAUGUCUGUCGUUAUCGCCCAUGGAGAGAAGAGGUCUUAAGAUGCACCUGCUGACCUGCUGAUAGAUUGGGGAAAGAAGUGUCUGAUGCUACACUUGCUACAUGGUUGGGGGCUUAUCAAAGCCCCCAUAGGGGAGAGGUGAGGAGUGGGCCACAUACCUUUCUACGCAGCGGGUAAGAAGGAGCAGGAGGGGUUGCUCGAGGUGGCGAGGGGGCAUUACUGUGAGACGGGUGGGGCCAUGACAAGGGCCUGACAAUUGUUGUCAUGACCAGAGGCUUUGAGUUCUGUCUCCUUGUGGGGAACUGGAAGUCCCUCACCUAUUCCAAGGAGGCAAAGAGAAAAGGGUCCAACCCACAAAAUGUAUCCGUGGUCACAUUAUGUUGAAAUAGAGUGAGUACAUAUUUUCCCAUAAUGGUGGAAAUAGAAAUUUGGCUUUCAGUCAUGACCCAGUCACUGAUUUUCUGUCCUCUCUAUGGACAACCAUAAGUUUGCAUUAAAAACGUGCAAUAAUUAUUCUCUCCCAUUGUGCACCAGCAGGAGAUCCGCACAGGCGCAGGCGGAAACUAUCAGCUCCUGGGAGAGGACCACGCAGACAGAGUAGGGGAAACAGCCCUGGGGCUCCCACUCAGGAAGCUUUUCUCCUCUCGUUGGUUGAGAACGAAUAGAGUGUAACCAUCACCUGGGACAGUGGGGAAUGUUUUACUCAGUAAGCCCAACAAAGCUUCAAGACAAAAACCCAAAAGACCAAAGUUUGCAAAUGAGUUUCCUGCUAGCCACCUCAAGACACAUAUACUGGUAAGACUUAAAACAUUUCUUUCUCAGCACCUAUAAGAAGCAAAAUGGACAGGGUCUAGCCCCAGCCACCAAAGAAGAAGGGAGAAGGGGUGCUCGUAACGAGGAAAAUAGCAGUCUGUGGGACGUGACCCAGAAGUCCCUGGGUGAUAGAAUCGAUAGGGUUGCUGAUCGUGUUACAGGCACACACGGAGUCUCCAGUCACUGGAGAAAGAGUGAACGCGUUGAACAG